rnacentral:rRNA from 1 species
AUUGAACGCUGGCGGCAUGCCUUACACAUGCAAGUCGAACGGCAGCGCGGACUUCGGUCUGGCGGCGAGUGGCGAACGGGUGAGUAAUACAUCGGAACGUACCCUGUUGUGGGGGAUAACUAGUCGAAAGAUUAGCUAAUACCGCAUACGACCUGAGGGUGAAAGUGGGGGACCGCAAGGCCUCACGCAGCAGGAGCGGCCGAUGUCUGAUUAGCUAGUUGGUGGGGUAAAGGCCCACCAAGGCGACGAUCGGUAGCUGGUCUGAGAGGACGAUCAGCCACACUGGGACUGAGACACGGCCCAGACUCCUACGGGAGGCAGCAGUGGGGAAUUUUGGACAAUGGGGGCAACCCUGAUCCAGCAAUGCCGCGUGUGUGAAGAAGGCCUUCGGGUUGUAAAGCACUUUUGUCCGGAAAGAAAUCGCGCUGGUUAAUACCUGGCGUGGAUGACGGUACCGGAAGAAUAAGCACCGGCUAACUACGUG